rnacentral:rRNA from 1 species
ACGGCGAGCGAAGAGGGAAGAGUCCAGCGCCGAACUCCACCGAAUGUAGGCGGUCGGAGUCUGUGGCGUUAGGGAGGGAGCGUGCCGGUGGACGGACGUCGGAGCAAGUCCUCCUGAACGGGGCUGUUUCCCAGAGCGGGUGCCAGGCCCAUAGGUCCGACGACCCCACCGGAUAGCGAUCCUCUCCAGAGUCGGGUUACUUGGAAGUGUAACUCUAAGGAGGUGGUAAACUCCACCCAAGGCUAAAUACUGCCGUGAGACCGAUAGCGAACAAGUACCGUGAGGGAAAGUUGCAAAGAACUUUGAAGAGAGAGUUCAAGAGUACGUGAAACUGCUGAGAGGCAAACUGGUGGGCCCUCGAAAUCCCGUCUGCGGGGAGAUUCAGUCGGGUGUCGGCGGCCGUCUCGCAAUGGGUCUGUCGCAACCGAAGAUCGGGGCGCAUUCCGAGAGGCGAGUUCGCCGGAACCCGACGCAUUUCCCGCCCGCACGAAAGGACGCCGCAGCCGGUCGGGUAGCUGCGCGUGUCGGCCAUGAGGACGUUGCGACGGCAGGUGACCGGCGGCCCUAGGCUUCUCCGGAGGCACUAACGGUCGACGGUUGAUUAGCCGGCUCGUCCGUGGCGCGACACCCGACCGAGGUAACACGGACUUCGGAGUUCUUCUCUCCACGGAGAGAAACUCCCGCAAUCCACUACUUUCAAUAAAGAGAGAGCGAGCCGUCGGACAGGCGCGUUCCUGCGUGGUCGGACAGUCACCGCACUGGUCGA